UACGCAGGGGGCUAGAGUUGUUCGGAAUUACUGGGCGUAAAGCGCACGCAGGCGGCUCGAUAAAUUAGAAGUGAAAGCCCCGGGCUUAACCUGGGAAUUGCUUUUAAGACUGUCGGGCUAGAAUCCAGAAGAGGGUAGUGGAAUUCCGAGUGUAGAGGUGAAAUUCGUAGAUAUUCGGAAGAACACCAGUGGCGAAGGCGACUACCUGGUCUGGCAUUGACGCUCAUGUGCGAAAGCGUGGGGAGCAAACAGG
rnacentral:rRNA from 1 species